GAUGAACGCUGGCGGCGUGCUUAACACAUGCAAGUCGAACGAAGCACCUUAUUCUGAUUUCUUCGGAAUGAAAAAUUUGGUGACUGAGUGGCGGACGGGUGAGUAACGCGUGGGUAACCUGCCUCAUACAGGGGGAUAACAGUUAGAAAUGACUGCUAAUACCGCAUAAGACCACAGCACCGCAAGGUGAAGGGGUAAAAACUCCGGUGGUAUGAGAUGGACCCGCGUCUGAUUAGGUAGUUGGUGGGGUAACGGACUACCAAGCCGACGAUCAGUAGCCGACCUGAGAGGGUGACCGGCCACAUUGGGACUGAGACACGGCCCAAACUCCUACGGGAGGCAGCAGUGGGGAAUAUUGCACAAUGGGGGAAACCCUGAUGCAGCGACGCCGCGUGAGCGAUGAAGUAUUUCGGUAUGUAAAGCUCUAUCAGCAGGGAAGAAAAUGACGGUACCUGACUAAGAAGCACCGGCUAAAUACGUGCCAGCCGCCGCGGUAAUAC
rnacentral:rRNA from 1 species